UCAUUUGUUCUUCCACAGAUCGCCUUUGACCUCGUGGUUAGUGCAUUCUCGCUCAUGGAGUUACCCAAUGCUGUACAAAGGCUCGAAACAGUGGCCAGCCUGUGGGGCAAGACUAACGGCCUACUGGUUCUUGUUGAAAAUGGGACACAAGCUGGACAUAAGGCCGUUGCUGAAGCGCGUGACUUCAUACUGAUGAUCAGCAAGGAUGGCGGUCAAGAACCUGCUCAAGUGUUGGCAGUUGGAAAGUUGGCUUCGGCCUUCGUACAUGUUUUUCGUUUUCCGAGUCUCACUAGACAUCAGUGAGAAGCUGUAACAACUGUACCAGUAAGAAGACUGCGAAGAGAACUAUCACCGUUCAGAACUAGCAGCUGUUUAAUUUCGGAGUAGUACUGUAGAAUGUCAUUAAUAAGACCUUGUUACGUAAAAUUUCCUGGUGCCAUUGUUCGUGCUCGAACAUAAAUAAUGACCCAGUAGAGUUAUUCUUAUAUUUUACUGGUUCAUAUGUUCCAAGAAAACACAAUCUUUCCACACCAACGUUCAGUACAUUGCCAAACUCUAGUUGCAUGCUACGUUUUCAGGCUGCUAAAUCCAGAGUAAACAAGAAAAUGCGUGAGGCGCACGCAAUCAAGAACAGUAGCCACCUGCCGCAGCUACACUUCUCGUGUGAUAACAUUGACACACAUUCACUUUCUUUAUCUGGCACCAGCAAAUCGCCUCCCAAAUCGUUGUAUGAACAGUCACAGCUAUUGCCGGGAACCAUAUCUUGAUAAGCAUCUUAGCAUAUAUCUAUUUCACACUGUGUGGUGCCAUUGGAAGCAUACUGCACACUCUUAAUAGGCAAUAACUCAAAUGCGGAUCAUAUAAUAUGUUUUCUGGCCGCUAGAUCCCAUGUAAACAAGAAAAGGCGUGAAGCGCAAGUGGUUGAGAAAUGAAGUGGCCCACCACAUCCAUUUCUCCACAAUAUUCACCUACCUGUCUCCCAUGAAAAUGCUGGCGUGCACACAGUUUUUUAUUCGCGUACCAGCAAAUCUCCUCCCAGGUCGUCGCAUGGCGCAUUCAUUGUUAUCGCCGCCGAACCUAUUACUGUAAGCACCUUCAUCUAUCUGUUUUGCAGGGUGUAGGGCGUUGUGAUUUUGGAAGUGUGCUGCACGCUUUUAGCAGGAAGUGAUAAACCAAAUGCAUCUCCGUUCCCUGCUGUAUGCAGCACGUUGGGAGCGUCCCAUUUUGCUCCAGUGGGAUCCGGUGUUGCCCACCCAGCUCGAUCUCAUUUCUAUUUCCCGUUGGCGUCUUAUAGCAUCAUACAAUAAGAAAACAAAAAAACGGGUCAUGGGCUGCUGUAGCCCUACUAGCUUGAUUUGUGUCAGCGGCUUGUGCCUUAUGCCACAAUGAAUGCACAACACUUUACAUUACGAAGAGCUGGUACAGUUGGGUGUCAAAUAGUUUACAGUGGAACCCCGAUUAUAUGACUUUCUCCGGACUGCGAAAAAGCGUCGUAAAAUGCGGGUGUCUUAAAAUCCGAACAUAAUUUAUACUUAUAAAAAUACUACUUAUUUCGCAUGACGGAUUUACGAGAAACUUCAAUGUAACCUAUUACUCUGCAUGGCUUGGAAACCCAAAUUACCGAAAGAGUAAAUGCGAUAAGAAAUAAUGCUGCAGUACAGGUACCUAUCAUGCUUUAUUCAAACAAACCUUUACGGCACUUCACUGUCCACUGCAACAAUUCCCACCAGCCGGCAUGAACUUUUAAAAACGUCGGUAAGUUUCUUUUGAACCUUGUUUGAUCCAUGAACCAAGAGCUUUCUCUCGAGCUAGGUAAUGUCAAAAACGAGGUCCUCUGCGCCGUCGCGUGAAACGACGAAGUAUCAGAUGCUGUCUAUGUGCCGUAGCGCCUCGGCGAACGUGGUAGGCACAGGCACGGCAUCUGUGGCGUUGUCGUUGUCCUCGUCUGAUGUCGCAGCGGUGUCGGCACUAGGCAAAGCCUCCUCGAUCGCGUCGUCCAGCGACACCUCGCCGCAGAUCGCAACGUUGUCGUUGGCCUCCACGUACUUGGUGAAGGUCGUGGUGAGGUUCAAACCCUUGAUUGGCGGCGGUGAAGCCUGCAUCGGCCUUGAGUUGCAUCGAGGUUGUUGCGUCCCCAGCAGAGGAGGCAGUCUCUUGCUUAAAGCCACAGUGCUUGAACGAGUUAGCGAUUGUGCUUCAUGACACUGCGUUCCAUGAACUGGCAAUAAAAUGCAUGGCGUCGAGCACAGUGAUCUUUUUUUUCUGACUCACUGCACUCCGUAGCCGCCAGCCGACGCUGCAGUAACCGCUUCCAGUACCCUUGCUCGACACACUUAUGCUUGCAUCCAGCGGCUGCAGCUGGCUUGUGCAGUUGGGUGGAAAAAAGAACAGUCUUUAUGUUCCUCAGGCUGGACGUGUCGGGUGGUUGGCAUGGUGCGUUGUCCACGAAAAGCAGUAUUUUCCUUACCUUAGCCCCCAUUUUGUUAUCCAGCUGCUGCAAAGAAAUUGCUGAAGAGUGAAGAUGUCACCGACGCCUUUUUGUUGAAGUUGUAGCUGCAUGACAGCGUCUUCAAGUUCUUAACGCACCGUGGCUUUGCAAACUUUCCAACAAUGAGCACGGGCAGCCUCUCGGAACCGUCCUUGUUAGCACAGAAUGGUGCAGUCACAUGCUCUCAUGCAUUUUUCCGCAAAGUUCGGGAAUUUAUACUACUAGUGGAUCCACCUUGCGAACUCCACGGCUAGAAUUUGUAAAUUGCAAUGUGCGUCAUACGAUAAUUAGCCCAAAAGGUAAUUAUAUAAUUCUUCCUAAUUAGCCAAUUUUGCAUUUAAAUUUUUUUUGCAAGUAGUGUCCACCGCUUCGAGUAGACCGGCUCAUAAAGUGGAAUUCAGCUAUCUGCCACAGCACAAUGCGUUGGUGGGCUAAUUGGUGAUAAUCCAUAAUUUGUUUAGCGCAAAACAACGGACACAAGUAAGACGAUAGGAAGAGGAGCAACUAUCAACUGAUUGUGUCGUGCUUCACUUUUGAGCAGCACUGACGCGAUUGCACAGUAAUAACAAACUUUGCCAAUCGGCUACAGAUUAUUGCUAUAAUACUCCAAGUGUUCCAAAAAGGCAUAUUUUCCCCCCUCCAAAACUGCGCCAAAAUGCAGGUGUGGCUUCUCAUAAACUGCUCUAGAAGAUUUAUCCAACGCCUAAAACUGCUAUAAAUCCUCAACUGUCUGGACAAUCACUAUUGGUGGCUUGCAAAAGGGACAGAUUGCAUGGUGGGCUAGUUUGUGCGGCAUUAUUUACACAGUAGCUCAGAAGGACGGCGGUGCAGUUGCAUCAGCGAGCGAUUACGUGAGCACUGGCAUAUCAUUGAGAAACUAGCCUUAUCACGCCACGUUGUCGCGCAUUGCGCACAAUGCGUAUGCAACCCCCGUUUGACCGCACUCAUUUGCUAGCCACAAACAAUGACCAGCUCAACAGAGAAACUGAAUAAGCUGCCGAGAUUAGGAAAAUAAAUAGUGUAAGUUGCCCGUUAGUCUCCUUAUCAGAGAAAGAAAUGUUGCUGCCAUUUUUUCUGGUCCUUGAGAACACGCGUCAGCGCGUAGCGGGUUGCUCCCACGUCGGUACAGAAAGGCCGAGCCUCUCUGCUGAGUCGUGGGCCAAAUGGUCAGCCCGUAGCUGUGCUUCAAUAUUAGGGCUCCUUAGGGCAGCUUUCCAUUCGGACGACCAAAGCCGCCCCCGUCGCAUAACUCUUCGCACUGCCAGAGCAUGUGUUCUAAGUUAGCUACGUCUGAGCAUAGCUCGCAAAUAUUGGUUGAUCGUAUCUCGGGAUAGAUUCUGUGUAACAAAGCAACAUUAGGGUAUGCCCCGACCUCGAGUAACCAGAGCAUUGGAGCCUAUGGUCUGCAUAGUUUCCUAUGUGGCAGAGGUUAUCUUUGUGCCAUGCAAAAAUCUUUGGCAUGUUCGUUAUAUGAAGAGGGAGGGUCCCAAUUGUCCAUCAGCUCAGCGCCGUGCCACACGGUAGCGACACAGUCGACGACUCCUCGCGCAGCUCUGUGGGCCGAUUCGUUGAGGUUUGGCCAGAGGUUGUCGGUCAGAGGUUGUCGAGACUGGAGGCUUGCCCAGCUUGGGGAUGAGUAUGGUGGUAGCCUUUUUCCACAUCUCCGGUGCUCUUCAUUGUUUCCACAUCUGGUCAAUGACGUCCAUCAGGCACUCCACCGACUUUGUCAAGUUCCUCGAUGCCCUGUUUGUAACUCUAUCCGAACCCGACGGUUGUAAAUUAAGUUGUUUCUCUUUGUCUUGUUGCGUUAGCCACCUCCAGUUGAACUUGCUGGGCUGAUUGGUUUAUGCAUCUUCCUUCUCACUUCCUUAUGUUCUGCGACAUUAUAUAUAUAUAGCUGUGUCCCAUCUAUUUCGCCCUCCGUGUGCACGUUUCAUGUGACCUCAUAGAAUUGUCCGCUUGGACGGAUUUUCUUUUACCGUAUUUACUCGAAUCUAGGCCGACCCCGAUUCUAAGCUGACCCCCUAAAGUCUGAAGCCAACAAAAAAAUAUAUAACCUCGAAUGUAGGCCGAACAAAAUAAGCGAGGACAGCGUUCACAAAAUGCAAACAGUGCGGAACUCAUUCAACACAUUAGGUUAGGGGAGUUGACUUUGGCAUCACUCGGGGAGGCGCUGCUGCACAGCCCCCAUAGUUGGAGCCUAUGGUGAAAUGAUUAUGAUUUAUUUACAUAUGAGGGAUGG